rnacentral:rRNA from 1 species
UACGUAGGGGGCAAGCGUUGUCCGGAUUUAUUGGGCGUAAAGAGCGUGUAGGCGGUCUGGUAGGUCCGUUGUGAAAACUCGAGGCUCAACCUCGAGACGCCGAUGGAAACCAUCAGACUAGAGUCCGGAAGAGGAGAGUGGAAUUCCUGGUGUAGCGGUGAAAUGCGCAGAUAUCAGGAAGAACACCUAUGGCGAAGGCAGCUCUCUGGGACGGUACUGACGCUGAGACGCGAAAAGCGUGGGGAGCGAACAGG